GGAUAGCUCAGUCGGUAGAGCAUGAGACUCUUAAAUCAUGGGUCAUGGGUUCGAAUCCCAUGUUGGGCA